UCCUCUGUGAAAUGUUCACAUUCUAUUUAUAACUGACCAGGGGAAGCUCUGGUCUCACCCACACCAUUUCCCUACAACAUACACUGGACUGGGAAGUUCGAGAAGAUGCUUUCCAGGUCAAUAUGCAACACGAGCGUCUAGAGGGCAGAUGCAGCUAACUCUUCAUUACCUGGCUAAUGACUGGCAGGAAGAAGGAUCAGAUGUCUUCAAAUGAAUGCCAAGUUGAAAUGACCCGUUGGUUAUUUCAUUUCAUGAAGCAAACAGAUCCAAGCCAUCUUGGAGUUAGAUCACUUGCAACUAGCCAAGCUGAUCACAAGGAUUUGGAGGAUCAUCUUAUCAAGCUAUAUCAGUCAAUGUCACUGGAAUCAUUUAAAUAAAUGUAUCAAAGGACAUCGGUUGAUCCUCUGGAUACUUUUCUUGACAAGCACACAUGUGACCUUACAGAAUAAGGCUAUGCACUUUCU